CUACGGGAGGCACCAGGUAGGAAUCUUUUGCAAUGCGCGCAAGCGUGACAAAGUGAGCCAGAGUGCUUUUCAAAUGAAAAGCUUUUGCCAAAUCUAAAAAUUUUGGCGAAUAAGGACUGGGUAAGACGAGUGCCAGCCGCCGCGGUAAUACUCGCGGUCCAAGUCGCAGCCAUAUUUAUUGGGUCUAAAACAUCCGUAGCUUGUUCAAUAAGUUCCUUGUGAAAUCUUAUUUCUUAAAAAUAAGGCGUGCAGGGAAUACUGUUGUGCUAGAGACUGGAAGACGUAGAAAGUAUGUUCAAAGUAUCGGUCAAAUGAGUUAAUCUUGAGCAGACUAACAACAGCGAAGGCAUUCUACGAGGACAGUUCUGACAGUAAAGGAUGAAGGCUAGGGGCGCAAAGCGGAUUAGAUACCCCAGUAGUC
rnacentral:rRNA from 1 species